GACGAACCGUGCGAACGUUAUUCGGAAUCACUGGGCUUAAAGCGCGUGUAGGCGGGGCGGCACGUCGGUCGCUGAAAGCCCCCGGCUCAACCGGGGAACGGGCGCCGAUACGACCGCCCUCGAGGGACGUAGGGGGACCUGGAACUUCCGGUGGAGCGGUGAAAUGCGUUGAGAUCGGAAGGAACGCCCGUGGCGAAAGCGAGGUCCUGGACGUCUGCUGACGCUGAGACGCGAAAGCCAGGGGAGCCGAACGGG
rnacentral:rRNA from 1 species